rnacentral:rRNA from 1 species
GUCGUGGGGCAGCGCGAGGUAGCAAUACUUUGGCGGCGACCGGCAAACGGGUGCGGAACACGUACGCAACCUUCCUCAAAGCGGGGGAUAGCCUCUCGAAAGAGAGAUUAAUACCCCAUAGUAUCGUCAGAAGGCAUCUGAAGACGAUUAAAGCUCCGGCACUUUGAGAUGGGCGUGCGGCUGAUUAGGUAGUUGGUAGGGUAACGGCCUACCAAGCCGACGAUCAGUAGCUGAUGUGAGAGCAUGAUCAGCCACACGGGCACUGAGACACGGGCCCGACUCCUACGGGAGGCAGCAGUGAGGAAUAUUGGUCAAUGGAGGCAACUCUGAACCAGCCAUGCCGCGUGAAGGAUGAAGGUCCUCUGGAUUGUAAACUUCUUUUAUAGAAGAAGAAACCCCAUUUUUCUAAGUGGGUUGACGGUACUCUAUGAAUAAGCACCGGCUAACUCCGUGCCAGCAGCCGCGGUAAUACGGAGGGUGCAAGCGUUAUCCGGAUUCACUGGGUUUAAAGGGAGCGUAGGUGGGCUUGUAAGUCAGUGGUGAAAUCUCCGAGCUUAACUUGGAAACUGCCAUUGAUACUACUCGUCUUGAAUUCUGUGGAGGUAAGCGGAAUAUAUCAUGUAGCGGUGAAAUGCUUAGAUAUGAUAUAGAACACCGAUAGCGAAGGCAGCUUACUACGCAGAUAUUGACACUGAGGCUCGAAAGCGUGGGGAUCAAACAGGAUUAGAUACCCUGGUAGUCCACGCCCUAAACUAUGGAUACUCGACAUCAGCGAUACACAGUUGGUGUCUGAGCGAAAGCAUUAAGUAUCCCACCUGGGGAGUAUGUCCGCAAGGAUGAAACUCA